GAUGAACGCUGGCGGCGUGCCUAAUACAUGCAAGUCGAGCGAACGGACGAGAAGCUUGCUUCUCUGAUGUUAGCGGCGGACGGGUGAGUAACACGUGGAUAACCUACCUAUAAGACUGGGAUAACUUCGGGAAACCGGAGCUAAUACCGGAUGAUAUUUUGAACCGCAUGGUUCAAAAGUGAAAGACGGUCUUGCUGUCACUUAUAGAUGGAUCCGCGCUGCAUUAGCUAGUUGGUAAGGUAACGGCUUACCAAGGCAACGAUGCAUAGCCGACCUGAGAGGGUGAUCGGCAAAACGGGAACUGAGACAAGGACCAGACACCUACGGGAGGCAGCAGAAGGGAAUCUUCCGCAAUGGGCGAAAGCCUGACGGAGCAACGCCGCGUGAGUGAUGAAGGACUUCGGAUCGUAAAACUAUGUUAUUAGGGAAGAACAUAUGUGUAAGUAACUGUGCACAGCUUGACGGUACCGAAACAGAAAGCCACGGCUAACUACGUG
rnacentral:rRNA from 1 species